UACAGAGGGUGCGAGCGUUAAUCGGAAUUACUGGGCGUAAAGCGCGCGUAGGUGGUUUUGCAAGUCGAGUGUGAAAGCCCCGGGCUCAACCUGGGAACUGCAUUCGAGACUGCAUUACUCGAGUAUGGGAGAGGGCAGUGGAAUUUCCGGUGUAGCGGUGAAAUGCGUAGAUAUCGGAAGGAACAUCAGUGGCGAAAGCGACUGCCUGGCCCAAUACUGACACUCAAGUGCGAAAGCGUGGGGAGCAAACAGG
rnacentral:rRNA from 1 species